rnacentral:rRNA from 1 species
UACGUAGGGACCAAGCGUUGUUCGGAUUUACUGGGCGUAAAGGGCGCGUAGGCGGCGUGACAAGUCACUUGUGAAAUCUCCGGGCUUAACCCGGAACUGCCAAGUGAUACUGUCGUGCUAGAGUGCGGUAGGGGCGACUGGAACUUCCGGUGGAGCGGUGAAAUGCGUAGAUAUCGGGAGGAACACCAGUGGCGAAGGCGACUUCCUGGCCUGUUCUUGACGCUGAGGCGCGAAAGCUAGGGGAGCAAACGGG